GACGAACGCUGGCGGCGUGCUUAACACAUGCAAGUCGAAUGGUAAGGCCCUUCGGGGUACACGAGUGGCGAACGGGUGAGUAACACGUGGGUGAUCUGCCCUGCACUUCGGGAUAAGCCUGGGAAACUGGGUCUAAUACCGGAUAGGACCACUGCCUGCAUGGGUGGUGGUGGAAAGCUUUUGUGGUGUGGGAUGGGCCCGCGGCCUAUCAGCUGGUUGGUGGGGUGAUGGCCUACCAAGGCGACGACGGGUAGCCGGCCUGAGAGGGUGACCGGCCACACUGGGACUGAGAUACGGCCCAGACUCCUACGGGAGGCAGCAGUGGGGAAUAUUGCACAAUGGGCGCAAGCCUGAUGCAGCGACGCCGCGUGAGGGAUGACGGCCUUCGGGUUGUAAACCUCUUUCAGCACCGACGAAGCGCAAGUGACGGUAGGUGCAGAAGAAGGACCGGCCAACUACGUGCCAGCCGCCGCGGUAA
rnacentral:rRNA from 1 species